ACUCCUACGGGAGGCAGCAGUCAGGAAUCUUCGGCAAUGGGCGAAAGCCUGACCGAGCAACGCCGCGUGGGUGAGGAAGGCCUUCGGGUUGUAAAGCCCUGUCCUAGGGGACGAAAGCAAUGACGGUACCCUAGAAGGAAGCCCCGGCUAACUACGUGCCAGCAGCCGCGGUAAUACGUAGGGGGCGAGCGUUGUCCGGAAUUACUGGGCGUAAAGGGCGUGUAGGCGGCCACUUAAGUUUGGUGUGAAAGGCAUAGGCUCAACCUGUGGACUGCAUCGAAAACUGGGUGGCUUGAGGGUAGUAGAGGAGAGCGGAAUUCCCGGUGUAGCGGUAAAAUGCGUAGAUAUCGGGAGGAACACCAGUGGCGAAGGCGGCUCUCUGGGCUACACCUGACGCUGAGGCGCGAAAGCUAGGGGAGCAAACGGGAUUAGAUACCCUGGUAGUC
rnacentral:rRNA from 1 species